rnacentral:tRNA from 1 species
UUAUACAAUACAUAAAAAAUAGUUUCGACCUAUUUAAAAGGGAAACCCCUAUAUUGUU